rnacentral:lncRNA from 1 species
CUCCUAAAACCCUGGGGAUUUCCUAAAGGAUAAAAGUGAUACAAAAAAAAAAAGUGUCUUGAUAUUUAUAAUGAAAUCCUGUUGACCACACCUGAGUUUGUGUUAAUGAAGUGACCUGUGGAAAGCUCUUAAAGUGUUCACUGGCAAUACUGACUAAGGAGAAAAUACAUGAGAAGUCAAAUGAAAUUUAACUGAUGCAGAUACAAAUAUCAGUUUUUUGUGGAGAGAAGAAAUAAUAGAGACGUGAGAAUUGAAAGAAGGAAUCUCAUGUCUCCAGUGGCACUUGGAGCUAGCAUCUCUGGUGGCAUUGCUGUCGGGAAUCAUCGUGAAAUGGAUAUGUGGUGUGACUGAGCUAACCAAAAUUUCACCAAAACUUCCAGCAAAACUGACAUUCCAGGAAUAUGUGCCAACUUCAUCCAGUGGCUCUUCACAUCCUUGGAGAACAGAAUUUUGUAGAAACUGGCUGACUCUUCAAGGCCCUGUCUCUAGAUCCUGCCUCCUCCAUUAUCAGCUCCUUUCAGGACCUAAAAGCCAUCAUACCCGGCAUAGAUCUUCAGGCUAAUGCAUGAUUUUUC